rnacentral:rRNA from 1 species
UACAGAGGUCUCAAGCGUUGUUCGGAUUCAUUGGGCGUAAAGGGUGUGUAGGUGGCGCCGUAAGUCGGGUGUGAAAUUUCGGAGCUUAACUCCGAAACUGCAUUCGAUACUGCGGUGCUUGAGGACUGGAGAGGAGACUGGAAUUCAUGGUGUAGCAGUGAAAUGCGUAGAGAUCAUGAGGAAGACCAGUGGCGAAGGCGGGUCUCUGGACAGUUCCUGACACUGAGAGACGAAAGCUAGGGGAGCGAAUGGG